CAGUGACAGAAGAAGCAUGGAGCGAAUCGUUGGCGGAAACUACAAGCUCGGCCGCAAGAUCGGAAGUGGAUCCUUCGGUGAAAUCUACCUCGCUACGCAUAUUGAUACUUAUGAAAUUGUCGCUAUCAAGAUCGAGAAUAGUAAAACAAAGCAUCCACAACUACUUUACGAGGCAAAGGUCUACAAUGUUCUUCAAGGAGGAAGUGGCAUUCCAAGCAUAAAAUGGUUUGGUGUAGAUCGGGAGGAUAAUGUACUGGCUAUGGAUUUACUUGGCCCUAGUCUUGAAGAUCUUUUUGUGUAUUGUGGAAGGAAGUUUUCAUUGAAGACUGUGUUACUGUUAGCUGAUCAAAUGAUUACUAGAAUAGAAUAUGUGCACUCUAAAGGAUAUUUACAUAGGGAUAUUAAACCCGAUAACUUCCUCAUGGGACUUGGUCGGAAAGCCAAUCAGGUUUACAUGAUCGAUUUUGGGCUUGCAAAACGGUAUCGGGACUCCACAAGCAAUCGCCACAUCCCUUACAGGGAGAACAAAAAUUUAACAGGGACUGCUCGAUAUGCAAGUUGCAAUACUCAUCUUGGGAUUGAGCAAAGUAGACGGGAUGAUUUGGAAUCUCUAGGAUACGUACUUCUCUACUUCCUUAGGGGAAGCCUUCCCUGGCAAGGUCUAAGGGCUGCAACAAAGAAACAGAAGUAUGAUAAGAUAUGCCAGAAGAAAGUAUCAACUCCCAUCGAGGUACUAUGCAAAUCUCAUCCUGUAGAGUUUGCUUCAUAUUUCCAUUACUGCCACUCUUUGACGUUUGAUCAACGGCCUGAUUAUGGAUUCUUGAAGCGUUUAUUUAGAGACCUAUUUGCUCGGGAAGGCUAUGAGUUUGAUUUCGUUUUUGAUUGGAGCAUUUUAAAGUAUCAGCAAUCACAGAAGCAUAGAGUGCCACCUUCCUUAUCUCCAGUUCCUGGGGCAAGUAACAAUCGUGCCGUCCCAAUGGAAUUUGACAAACAUCAAGGGCACGGUGAAGAGCGAAUUAAAUCAGGAAAUGCUACUGGUCCUGGUGUUAAAGUACAGUUUAAAUCACCAACUGGUAGAAACUUGAGUUCUGAUAACCCUCUUGACAAGAAUAUUUUUGGAGAAGCAAAUAUGCCCUCUACUUCGCAUUCUCCUGCUGGAGCUUCAAAAAGGAACCCCUUGAAGCCUGCCUUGUCUGCCGAACCUUCCAACCCUGGACAUGGGCAAGGAAGUAAAAUUGGCCCUUCAAGUAGCUGGAUAUCAUCUUUGCAGCGCAUAUCUUCUUCCAAAUGAAUGUCGGAUGUGUAUUUCUAUCUCCGGGCUUGAAUCUCUUGAAGAUUCCUAGAAGAAUACAUGUGUGAAGCUGCAAAUGCGUCAUGGUUUGCUUGCAUCUUUUCUCAAGUGUUUGGUCAAAGAAUAUUCAAGUGAAGUAUCCAUGGACACGGACGCUGUGAAUGUGCUGGAUGGUUGACAAAUUGCAUAGCUCCUAUUUGAGGUUAUCAAAAAUAGAAGUUAUAUUGAUAUCACAGGCAAAUGUUAUGGCUGAAAGGUCACUGAAAUAAUGGUUUCUUAUGAGUUUUCGAAGGUAGCACAAUUUGACCCUUGCUGAGGUUAAUUUGUGAUCUCAUUCUAGGGAUGAAAGUGUUGAAUCUAGUUGUGUUUCAAGUGUGAUUCAAGUCCAUACUUUUAUCUUUGCAGGACCUCCUUUUCUGCUGAAUAUAUUGUGUGAUGGAUGAAAAAUGGAAGUAAUAUGCCACUAUCUACAGGAACAUACUCAUGAUGCUGCUGCUACUUUUGAUGAACAAAUCAGUUUAAGCACUCUGGAUGAAAAUGCACCCAGGAAUAAUUAAUAUUGGAGAUUAUGAGUCAAUGUGAUUUCUUUGGUUUGUGCAACUUUUCAUUGUUUUCAACUAGAGAAAGGGGAGUUACAUAGUUAUGUUGCUUCAAUUCAAGAAUUUUGGAUACUCUUUCUGCGCCAAAUUAAUCAUUUGGUUUGAAUUGCAGUAACAAUUGACAAGAAAUGAGUUGAUUUAUCUUUGCUUGUUGCAAGAGCAUGCAAGGUAACACCGAUCAGAAAAAUUGAAGGCUCUUUGUGCUGAUAUAGGUUUGUUCAUCUGACAUCUUUGACAGUGGCACCAAAACAAUGAAUUCACAUUUUGUCAAUUUCAAAUUGAAGGUUUCACAAUUUUGAUUCCCUGUAUGUGACAUGCUAUUUCAUGAUUCUUGAGCAUUUUGAAUCUGUUAGAGAAGUUGAAAUUUGCACCUCUGAAGUUUGAUGAGCUUUGGAGCUUGAACAUUAGAUGUUUCACUACGAUAUUGUUAAAAGAAAGUUUUGCGGUUGGGAUUUUUCAAAUUUCCUUAGAAUUACUUGCUUGGUGACAAGCUUGAAACAAGAGUUAUUUAUGAUAUGAAAGUUGGUCGGAAAACUAUUUAGGACAACAUGUAUUUCUCUAUUAAUCAAUCCAUGCUUUACAUAAA